rnacentral:lncRNA from 1 species
GACUCCUCGGGGGCACGGAACCGCCGGUCCACGAUGUAGAUCCCUGGAUUGGGGACAGGGAAAGAGGGGAUUGAGGGGCACAGGGAAUGAGGGACACAGGGAAAGAGGGGAUUGAGGGGCACAGGACUCCUCUGGAGCACAGAAAUGAUGGUCUAUGAUGUAAAUCCCUGGAUUUGGGACAGGGAAUGAGGGAAUUGAGACACAGGGAGACAGGGAAUGAGGGGAUUGAGGGGCACAGGACUCCUCGGGGGCACGGAACCGCCGGUCCACGAUGUAGAUCCCUGGAUUUGGGACACAGGGACACAGGGAAUGAGGGGAUUGAGGGGCACAGGAUUCCUCGGGGGCACGGAACCGCCGGUCCACGAUGUAGAUCCCUGGAUUUGGGACAGGGAAAGAGGGGAUUGAGGGGCACAGGACUCCUCGGGGGCACGGAACCGCCGGUCCACGAUGUAAAUCCCUGGAAUUGGGGACACAGGGACACAGGGAAUGAGGGGCACAGGACUCCUCGGGGGCACGGAACCGCCGGUCCACGAUGUAGAUCCCUGGAUUUGGGGACACAGGGAGACAGGGAAUGAGGGGAUUGAGGGGCACAGGGAAUGAGGGACACAGGGAAAGAGGGGAUUGAGGGGCACAGGACUCCUCUGGAGCAUGGGAAUGAUGGUCCAUGAUGUAAAUCCCUGGAUUUGGGACACAGGGAGACAGGGAAUGAGGGAUGGAGGGAUAGAGAGACACAGGGAAUGAAGGAAUGAGGGAUGGAGGGAUAGAGGGACACAGGGAAUGAGGGACUCGGGACUCAGGGAUAUGGGGUCAGGGACACAGGGAAUCAGAAUAAGGCCCAGGAACUCAGGGACCCCCUCCCCAAUUCCCAGGAAUUCAGAGACCCCCUCCCAAGGACCCCAGGAAUUCUGGGACCCCCCACCCAAAUCAUCCUGGUGCUGGAGAACCGAGACAGGCGGAAAACCAGGAAUUCUGGGACCCCUUCCCCAAUUCCCAGGGGUUCAGAGACCCCCUCCCAAGGACCCCAGGGAUUCAAAGACCCCCCUCCCCAAUUCCCAGGGGUUCAGGGUCCCAAAUCCCUCUCC